CACAGGCGGAGGGCCCGGCGCUGCCCGGCCGGGGCAUGGAGCAAACCUGAGGGCCGCCCUGGGCAGGGGGUGCUGGGAAGGUGGAAUCCGCGGGGUUCUGCCGAGAGGAACGGCUCGUGUGUUAUGCCAUCAGAUCCAACAAUUAAUGGUCUUCAAUCCAGUCUUCAGGCUGCUGAGCUCCUCCUUUUGUACAGUCCUUUUUCAGAAGCACAUCUCUGAUUUAUGCAGCUUGACAAAAUCCUAAACCUGCAGUCUCCUUGUCCUCCUGUUAAAUGGCUUGCAUGCGUCUCCAUCCUCACCAUGCCUUCUCAGAGAGCACUGGUGUUGUGCAUCUCUCCAUCCCUCCGAGGUGCAUUUGGCCUUCCUUCUCUGCGAUUCCUCCCCUUCCCUUUUUCCUGACACAGACUCAAGUUUUAAAAAUCCAUUUUCCUUCUCUGAGCCACCAUUAUGCACAAAUACUUCUCUGCUCUUCUUCACAUGCCACCAAUUUCCUCCAGAACCUAUCACUCUCAUCUAGCUGCUUAACUGUGUAAUGAUAUGAAAUAUUCACUCUAAUGAGCCCCUGCUGUGGAUACCACUUGAUCCUGCCUUGUUUUUGUUCUUUUUGACUCCAACCUCACUGAAUGUUCGACUUUCCUUCUCCCAAAUUUCAAACUGCUUCCUGAAGCUACACCAUACGUGCAUAUGUACAGUUCAUACAACAUACGUCUUUUCUGCUGAUGUUUUCAGAAGGAACAAGGGCUAUCUUGAUGGGAAUUUUCAGCAAAUACCACGUGAUCAGUCUCGGACAGCUGCCAUGGAAACUUCAUCCUGAAGUUUUGCAAAGUAGAUGAAAAUAAAAUUUUGUAAUGAAAAAUGUCAGGGAACCUAAAUAGCAGACUGUUCCUUGGUGGUUAGUCCUUUGGCAAUUGGAAAGCACAGAGCUGCCAGCCCUUCAGCCUCAUGCACAGAAAUCAGCAUAUGUGGGACGAACAACCUGAUUAAAUGAAUACGAUUUAAGUUUUCAAGUAAAAGGGAAUCCAGAAGAACUACCCUAGUUGUGGCUUUAAAUACUGAACUUCUAAAUACUACCUCUGUUUUCUAUACCUUUGUGAUGCACCUACACAAACUAAUGGAAGGAUGAAAUGAUAGCACAGGGGCCUGGAGAUUGCUGCAUUCACGCUUUGUUUGCUUUGCUCAGGAUGGAAAGGCAGCAGGGUUGGGAAGAGCCAGCUACAGAGGAUGCUCUUCUGACAUGGUGGUUUGUUCGAUGGGCCUGAUCUAGAACUAUCUCGCAUAAUUAAGAUCUGAGAAAAGACAACCUUCUGUCCCUUCCCCAUAAAUCUGUGUUUGCAUUCAAAUGGUGAGUUGGAAUAUUGGAGUAAGUCUUCUUUUUUUCUUCUCCUUUGGGAUAUGAUAAAUUUUGCAAUUGCCAGAAUAAAUACAGAUUUAUC
rnacentral:lncRNA from 1 species